AUGUACCUCAGAUAUCUCCUCCUCACUGCCUCCUGAGGCAACCACUGGGCACCGUGGGACAGAUCACUGUCACCCAGCAAGAAGGAGAAGUCACAGUGAAGCAGAGAGACACCUUCCAGACAACCUGCACCUACCAGAGCUCCUUCUUUCAAGGCUUGCUCUGGUACCAGCAGAGGAAAGGCCAAGGUCCCCACCUGGUUUCUUCUCAGGUCGCAGCUGGCCGCAAGCACAGUGGACGUUUCACAACUGAACUGAACACCACGGGGCAAUACAGCCUCCUGCAGCUGGAGGAAGUCGAGGUCUCUGACAGUGCCUUGUACCUCUGUGCUGUGCAAGACACCCUGACUGGAGUGACAUUGGCUUUCCUCACGUCCUCGGGCACCUUGCCUGUUCUCCAGGACCUUUCAAAGAUGAUGGAGAGCGGCUCAGCAAUGGCUUCUUCCAGCUCCCUCAGCACUCAUGGGUGA